GGCCCCUGCGACUCCUGGUGCCCGGCUGGGACACGUGGGGCCGGCUUUGCGGAGUCAGCAGGGCCAAGGUGCGCGGGGUGCGCUCCCCCCCGGAACCCCGCCCCUUCUCACCCCAUCUCGCUUUUUUGGGAGAGGAGAGUGGAGCCGUCAGCACCCACUGGCAGUGUCGGUGCUGUGCUGGGAGUCCUCCCAGACCAGCCCACUCCUCCUGGUUUGAGCUUCCGAUCCAUCCCUACUCCUUUACGGUUCUUCUUCCCCGUAGUUAACCUGCGGAGAGGAGGAGGUACUGUCUCCGCACAAGGUACUGCGGAGGUACCUUGCGGAGGAACCUUGCGGAGGAGGUACUGCGGUGGGGAGGCAGGGGGGAGGCGCAUCUGCCUCCGCACAAGGGGUCUAAUGGCUUGCUUAUUCCUUCUAGGCCAGGUUGAAAGGUUUUUAAAAGCAGGUGGGGGUGCCAGGAUAGUGAGAAAAACAAGAAAAGACACUGCUUUUUACCCCAUGCGGGGCAGAGCUGGUCUCCUUUCUGCAGGUGUUGAGGGGAGUUGAGUAGGAGCCCAGAGCUGGUACAGGCCCCGUUUAACGUGCCCCCGCAGAGUGAGGGCUGGGGGUCACCCCAUAGGCAGGGGAGCCCUUCUGGGAGGGAAUUCCUGCUUAGGUGGGAGGUUGACCUGAAUGACAUCUAGGUCCUCUACCUCCCAGAUGCCGAAUUUUCAGGGAAGGAACCAAAUGGAUGUAUGGCCCAUGCCUGGGUUUGAAUCCCAGUUCUGGCCUUCAUUCCUCCAGGCCUCCAUUUCCUUGUCUGCACUAUGGGGCCAUGGUGAGAACUCUGAAAUAACACCAACUGCCUGGUGCUUGGUAGGUGCCACAUUACAAAAGCGGUGGGAAGGAGGCCCUUUGGUUUCCAUGUCGGUGGUCAUGUCCCACAGUCCCCGUUGCCAUCCUGAUUAUGGAAAACUUCAUUUCAUGCUCCAAAUGUUCCUCAAUUCCUGGCACUGUUCUAGGUCCUGCACCCAGGCUGGUAUGAAAAAGGUGCCGAGAAGGUCCCAUGCAUCACCAGCCUGGAGGUAGCAGCAGAAGGGAAACCAGUGCCUCUGAGAGUGGGCAACUGUGCCCCAUCCACCUCCUCUUCUUCUUGGAGAUCUCAAGAUAAGACAAGAGACAUCAACCUGGGAUUGGGUUUCUGGGCAGAGAGUAAAAGUGAGCUCCUUCUGCCUGUGCACGCAGCUUCCCUCGGUACUGGGAUAGCCGAGAUCCCUUACUAGAAGCAGCUCACAAAACCUCCCCCAGUUACUGGGAUAGCCCAGACACCUUCCUAGGGCAGCAGCGGAAGAAAGAAGGGGACAAAAUACCAACGACCAGAAAGAAGAAAGAACUUAGCCUCAGUCACCAGCCACUGGGAGCUGAUAGUAACUGAAGGGAUGGAAAGCCCUCUGGGACAGUUUUAGUGGGAGCCCUCCAGAGCCUGGAGAGACUGCAGGUGGAGCAGGAAGGUGGGGAAGAAUUAGAGCAGUGACCCCGGCCACUUUUGGCCUCACGGUUCUGCACAAUGAGACAUUGCUCAUCUUCAGAGAACCGUGCCAUUCUGGCCAUCUGGCAUCCUAGACAAUUUUCCACUGUCUCUCAGUAUCCAGCCAUCCAGCCAUCUAGCCUCCUAACUACUUCUCUGUGCUGGUCCAGCCCAGUGCUCAGAGUUAGGAUAUUUUUAUGAAUAAAACAGACCUAGCUUCUGCCCUCGUGGAGCUUACAGCGUGGGGCGAAAGGAGACUGAUCAAAAUGCCACACACAUGUAAUUUACAACCUUGGGAAGUGCCAAGAAGGGGAAGUGUUGGGUGCCACUGAGAACAUUCACAGAGGUUAACCUGGGGCUGAGGUGGAGGAAAGGUCAGAUGGAAGCUGUCUAACCACCCUGGGCUUCUGGCUUAGGAUGUGUAGGGCUAGCAGCUCAGCCCAUGAGGUUGUGUCUUGAACUUGGGUAUUGAUGGAAUAGCUAUAGAAACAGAACAACCAUGAAGUGAAGAUGGUGAAUGAAGAUCCUCUCAUCAGCUUGCGAUUGCAUGACAGAGGAGGCUGCAAGGACACUCAGGUGUGAAGACGGGUGAGUUGCCAGUUCUGGAGUGCAGAUGUGGUUACCAGCAGCCUCUGUUUUGGAGGCUACUCUGAAGCCAUAUUCAGCUUGGGAGGCCUCCUGCAGGGUUGACCCAGUUCUGGAACAAACCAAGGUGUUUGGGUCUGAACCAGGGCCUGAGCAGAUCCCAUCCCAUAUCCAGCUGAACUGUCUCACCCAGUCUGCAUUGAGUAUCGGUCCCAAGUGGAGGCCACAGGAAGAAGUGCUGUUCCCUAGUGGUCUUAGAUGCUUCAUCAGCUAAAGCGUGGGGCUCAGUCUCCUGGUGUCCACCUGUAAAAUGAAAGUGGUGUCCCAGAGUCUCUCCAAAGCUCCUUGUGGUGACUCUAUGGUCCUAAGAAACCGUUCACUUUAUAGGCCUAUCUCAGUGCACAGCUGAUGCCUCUGAUGCAGGGGUGGCUGUGGCUGUGCUGCCGCUCCUAUGGGGGAGGCAUCCUGGCCAGCACGCUCUUUGCACCUGAUGACUCCCUACGGCAGCUGCACAGCACUGCAGUUAGAAGCCCAGGCCACGUGGAUUUCAGCCCCGGCCCUACCACUCAGUAGCUGUGUGACCCUGGGCCAGGUGUUUGACCUCCCAAGGCACCCAUUUCCUCAUGGAGGUAAUAAUAGUAUCUAUAACCUCAGUUUACCACACGGAUGAAAAGACAAUGCAUGUAAGGGUUCCUCCGCGGCACCUGGCUCAGUGAGCAAUCUGUAAUUGUGAGCUGUUGUCAUUAAGAGGCCGUGGGAACACUAGUCGGUGGUGUGUAUAUCCAGGGGUGGGUGUUGCUUCUGGCAUCUCUCCUAAAUUCAAGCUGAUGAUGAAAGUCAUCAGAGAGACAGAACAAAAUACCCCACAAGCUAUGACAAAAGGAACCUGUAUUUCAUAAAUCAGAGAAGAGUAAAGGACAGAGACCAAAGCCAAUAACUAGUGUUUAAACAUGCAGAGAGAAAGAGAGACAGAGAGAGAGAUGUUUCCUCUGCCUUCCACUACCAUGGGCAGGUGGGAAAUACCACCGACCCUGGGGACCCUGGGAUGGUCCCUGAGUGGGCCGUGUGCCAGGAGCCUGGCCAGAGAGCCAAGAGUGGUCAUGGCCCCCUGGGAGUUCUACUCUUUUCUAGGCAGCAGCAGUGACUGAGACCUUGUACACAAAACUCAUUCAUUCAAUCAGUAUUUAUCUAGGACUUCCAGAAACAGUGCUAAGCUGUGCUGGAGAGUGAUAGUAAAAAAGACACAGUCCCUACCAGCGAGAGACAUUGGGUCCAGCUGAUGAGUAAGACAAGCCAACAGAGUAGGGCAACAAGACCAGGAUCCCUUCGGGGCAUUACUGAGCACACGGCCUCGGUCUGGAAUUCUGGACACAUUCUUCACCUUAACUGGGGGUGCAUUGGGGAUUUAAAACCCCCAAGAGCCAGGGAUCUUUCCCACCCAAGCUAAUUUCUGGGCAGCUGUGCCACUGCAGGGCAUGCAGAAGGAAGAGAGCCUUCCAGAGGAAAGUCGCCUUGUUCCUUGCUUUGUGACCCUCAUCUCUGCGAGGUAGAGAAGAAAAGGAGGGCUCUUCCAUCGGGAGCUUCCAAGGUUCCGGGUGAGAGCUAGCCAGCUCUGCAUUUGGAGCAGAGAGAGACAGGAAUUUGGGACACUAGGUCACAAGUUGGUCUCUUCCUUUGUCAGCAGUCCAUUCAACAUGGCAAUGCCCACACCCACCUCACAAGGCAUGGAUGACACAAAGAGAUGGCUUGCCUGCAAGAGACCCAGCUGGUCUGGAGUUGGAGGCACACUUCAUUUCUCUGCCCAGCUCGGCAGGCGGCUGGAGCAAACCAGGAGAUCGCCUCAAAUGUUUUAAAUGUCAAUAUGGUCCCUUCUUGCUGGCUUGCCAAGAUUUGACCAGCUAAAUUGGCCUGUGUGGUGUGUUCCCUGCAGUGCACGGAACGUACUGGCUGUGAGCAGCCCUGGGCCAGGGCAGAGGUGAACUUGACAAUCAUGUGGACGCUGGCUUUUGAUUACUGCUUCUUCUGGGCUCACGCUACCCAGGGCUCUCUUUAGACCAUCUCUAGGUGAACUUUCUGCCCCAGGAAUGAUCACCUCCAUUUUACUGGUGAGAGGUUCAAGGACUUCCCUUCCUUCUUUCCUCCCUUCCCCUUCUCUCCACUUCCUUCUCCUUCCCUCCUACAUCAUUUUUCCCUUUCCUUUCUUCCUCCCUUCCUUUAGCAAAUAGCCCUGGAGCAGCUGACCGGUUCUAGGAGCUGAGAACAGGGUGAUGGGUAAGAGGGACAAGGGCUUGCUCUCACGGUGUUUACAUUCUAGUGGGGGCAGGAGACAAGUCAACAGAUCAAUAAUUUCAGAUAAGAACAGCUGCUCUAAGAAGAACAACUGGGGAGUGAGAUGCAGUCCACUUUAGGCCGGUGGUUGGGGACGGCUUCUCUUGAGAGGUGGCAUUUAGGGGACUAAAUGGUAACAAUGAGCUGGCCUUGGGCAGGUCUGGGGGCAGAGCCAUCAGUGCCAGGGCACAGAGCUAGGAAAUGCAGAGCAGCUGGUACCCACGACUGGUCUUGCCUGAACCCCUAAUCCUUGCUCUUUCUGCCACAUCCUGCUUUCCCACUUGGCCAAAGAAUUGUGGUUGGCCAAAGGUGGGGCUAAGCUGUGCAGUGGGAGGGGCCAGGCUGAGCUGGAGGUGGCCAGGAGCCUCCUGGUACAGGGCCCUGGUGCCAGUGUCCUCACCCUCCCAGAAUCCUGUUCAUUUGUGUUGAGGACAUGGGGUGAAGGAUCUGAAAAUGCAUGCGCAGGCAGACGACCCACCCAGGCCAUUCACAGCCGCAGCAGUUUGGGACUCUCCGCUUGGCCCAGGUAGGGAGGCACUUGCGGUCCUUCCCAGGCCUGCCGUGAGGCUCCAGGGCCAGCGCCUAUCCCCAGCCCCAAGGAGGCACUCCGAAGAACCUAUUUUAAAUCUCAGCUCAGCAUUUUUGGCCAACUUACAGAGAAGCUGCAAGAUGAGUAAAGGAACUUGCCUAUAUUUUUUAUCUAGAUUUACCAGUUGUUGACAUUUGCCCAUCUGCUUUGUCAUUGGUGCUCUCUCUAUUCUGUGUGUGUGUGUGUGUGUGUGUGUGUGUGUGUGUGUGUGUGU
rnacentral:lncRNA from 1 species